rnacentral:rRNA from 1 species
GACGAACGCUGGCGGCGUGCCUAAUACAUGCAAGUAGAACGCUGAAGGAGGAGCUUGCUUCUCUGGAUGAGUUGCGAACGGGUGAGUAACGCGUAGGUAACCUGCCUGGUAGCGGGGGAUAACUAUUGGAAACGAUAGCUAAUACCGCAUAAGAGUAGAUGUUGCAUGACAUUUGCUUAAAAGGUGCAAUUGCAUCACUACCAGAUGGACCUGCGUUGUAUUAGCUAGUUUGUGGGGUAACGGCUCACCAAGGCGACGAUACAUAGCCGACCUGAGAGGGUGAUCGGCCACACUGGGACUGAGACACGGCCCAGACUCCUACGGGAGGCAGCAGUAGGGAAUCUUCGGCAAUGGACGGAAGUCUGACCGAGCAACGCCGCGUGAGUGAAGAAGGUUUUCGGAUCGUAAAGCUCUGUUGUAAGGGAAGAACGAGUGUGAGAGUGGAAAGUUCACACUGUGACGGUAGCUUACCAGAAAGGGACGGCUAACUACGUG